rnacentral:rRNA from 1 species
UACGGGGGGGGCAAGCGUUGUUCGGAAUUACUGGGCGUAAAGGGCUCGUAGGUGGCCAACUAAGUCGGAUGUGAAAUCCCCAGGCUUAACCUGGGAACUGCAUCCGAUACUGGAUGGCUUGAAUCCGGGAGAGGGAUGCAGAAUUCCAGGUGUAGCGGUGAAAUGCGUAGAUAUCUGGAGGAAUACCGGUGGCGAAGGCGGCAUCCUGGACCGGCAUUGACGCUGAGGAGCGAAAGCUAGGGGAGCAAACGGG